rnacentral:rRNA from 1 species
UACAGAGGGUGCGAGCGUUAAUCGGAAUGACUGGGCGUAAAGGGCGCGUAGGUGGUUGGAUGAGUUGGAUGUGAAAUUCCCGGGCUUAACCUGGGAGGGUCAUCCAAAACUGUUUGACUAGAGUAUGGUAGAGGGAAGUGGAAUUUCCGGUGUAGCGGUGAAAUGCGUAGAUAUCGGAAGGAACACUGGUGGCGAAGGCGACUUCCUGGACUGAUACUGACACUGAGGCGCGAAAGCGUGGGGAGCAAACAGG